CUGUUGUAUGAAAGGAGAGAGGGUUAGCACUCCCCUUGAUAAGGAUGGAAGAGGUCCUUGUGGCCUUUACAACACAUAUAUGGUUAAGGCAUCGCCACUUACACAGACGUCUGUCCCUGUCAAUCA